AUUGAACACUGGCGGCAUGCCUUACACAUGCAAGUCGAACGGCAGCACGGGUGCUUGCCCCUGGUGGCGAGUGGCGAACGGGUGAGUAAUACAUCGGAACAUGUCCUGUAGUGGGGGAUAGCCCGGCGAAAGCCGGAUUAAUACCGCAUACGAUCUACGGAUGAAAGCGGGGGACCUUCGGGCCUCGCGCUAUAGGGUUGGCCGAUGGCUGAUUAGCUAGUUGGUGGGGUAAAGGCCUACCAAGGCGACGAUCAGUAGCUGGUCUGAGAGGACGACCAGCCACACUGGGACUGAGACACGGCCCAGACUCCUACGGGAGGCAGCAGUGGGGAAUUUUGGACAAUGGGCGAAAGCCUGAUCCAGCAAUGCCGCGUGUGUGAAGAAGGCCUUCGGGUUGUAAAGCACUUUUGUCCGGAAAGAAAUCCUUGGCCCUAAUACGGUCGGGGGAUGACGGUACCGGAAGAAUAAGCACCGGCUAACUACGUG
rnacentral:rRNA from 1 species